CCUACGGGAGGCAGCAGUAGGGAAUAUUGGUCAAUGGGGGAAACCCUGAAGCAGCAACGCCGCGUGAAGGAUGAAGGUUUUCGGAUUGUAAACUCCUUUUGUUAGAGAAGAUAAUGACGGUAUCUAACGAAUAAGCACCGGCUAACUCCGUGCCAGCAGACGCGGUUAUACGGAGGGUGCAAGCGUUACUCGGAAACUCUUGGGGUAAAGAGCGCGUAGGCGGGAUAGCAAGUCAGAUGUGAAAUCCUAAGGCUGAACCAUAGAACUGCAGUUGAAACUGUUAUUCUAGAGUAUGGGAGAGGUAGGUGGAAUUCUGGGUGUAGGGGUAAAAUCCGUAGAGAUCAAGAGGAAUACUCAUUGCGAAGGCGGCCUGCUAGAACAUAACUGACGCUGAGGCGCGAAAGCGUGGGGAGCAAACAGGAUUAGAUACCCCGGUAGUC
rnacentral:rRNA from 1 species